rnacentral:rRNA from 1 species
CGCUGGCGGCGUGCUUAACACAUGCAAGUCGAACGGAAACAGCAGGGGCCUGCUCCUGGCUGUCGAGUGGCGCACGGGUGAGUAAUGUAUAGCUAACAUGCCCCAUAGAGGGGGAUAACGUCUGGAAACGGACGCUAAUACCCCAUACUCCUUAUAGUUGAGAUACUAUAAGGGAAAUGGAUUUCCGCUAUGGGAUUGGGCUAUAUGGUAUCAGCUAGUUGGUAAGGUAAUGGCUUACCAAGGCAAUGACGCCUAACUGGACUGAGAGGAUGAUCAGCCACACUGGAACUGAGACACGGUCCAGACUCCUACGGGAGGCAGCAGUGGGGAAUAUUGCACAAUGGGGGAAACCCUGAUGCAGCAACGCCGCGUGGAGGAUGACGCAUUUCGGUGUGUAAACUCCUUUUAUCAAGGAAGAAAUUUGACGGUACUUGAUGAAUAAGCACCGGCUAACUCCGUGCCAGCAACCGCGGUAAUACGGAGGGUGCAAGCGUUACUCGGAAUUACUGGGCGUAAAGGACGCGUAGGCGGUUUAGAAAGUCAGAUGUGAAAGCCUAUGGCUUAACCAUAGAACUGCAUCUGAAACUCCUAAACUAGAGUGAGGGAGAGGUCAGUGGAAUUAGUGGUGUAGGGGUAAAAUCCGUAGAGAUCACUAGGAAUACUCAUAGCGAAGGCGACUGACUGGAACUUUACUGACGCUGAGGCGUGAAAAGCGUGGGGAGCAAACAGGAUUAGAUACCCUGGUAGUCCACGCCCUAAACGAUGUACACUAGUUGUUGCGAUGCAAGUCAUCGCAGUAAUGCAGCUAACGCAUUAAGUGUACCGCCUGGGGAGUACGGUCGCAAGAUUAAAACUCAAAGGAAUAGACGGGGACCCGCACAAGCGGUGGAGCAUGUGGUUUAAUUCGAAGAUACGCGAAGAACCUUACCUGGACUUGACAUCCCAAGAACCUUCCAGAGAUGGAAGGGUGCUUGCUUGCAAGAACUUGGUGACAGGUGCUGCACGGCUGUCGUCAGCUCGUGUCGUGAGAUGUUGGGUUAAGUCCCGCAACGAGCGCAACCCUCGUCGUUAGUUGCUAACAGUUCGGCUGAGCACUCUAACGAGACUGCCUGAGUAACCAGGAGGAAGGUGAGGACGACGUCAAGUCAUCAUGGCCCUUAUGUCCAGGGCUACACACGUGCUACAAUGGCUAGGACAAUGAGACGCGAUACCGCGAGGUGGAGCAAAUCUAUAAACCUAGUCUCAGUUCGGAUAGCACUCUGCAACUCGAGUGCUUGAAGCUGGAAUCGCUAGUAAUCGUAGAUCAGCAAUGCUACGGUGAAUACGUUCCCGGGUCUUGUACUCACCGCCCGUCACACCAUGGGAGUUGGUUUCACCCGAAGCCGGAAUGCCAAAUUGGCUACCGUCCACGGUGGGCCCAGCGACUGGGGUGAAGUCGU